rnacentral:rRNA from 1 species
CCCUUAGAUGUUCUGGGCGGCCCGCGCACUACAUUGGCACUAGCAAAGAGAUCCUAGAUUGAAUUCUUUGGGGUAUUCUUCUAAAUGGUGUCGUGACUGGGAUAAAUCCUUGUAAUUAUUGGUUUUGAACGAGGAAUUCCUUGUAAUCGCGGUUUAUCAGCUCGCGUUGAAUGCGUCCCUGCCCUUUGUACACACCGCCCGUCGCUCCUACCGAUGGAUCGUCCGGUGAAGCUCACGGAGUGACUGUUCACGCAACGGUUUACGAAGUGAAAUGGACCUCACGAUUUAGAGGAAGGAGAAGUCGUAACG